rnacentral:rRNA from 1 species
AUUGAACGCUGGCGGCAUGCUUUACACAUGCAAGUCGAACGGCAGCGCGGGCUUCGGCCUGGCGGCGAGUGGCGAACGGGUGAGUAAUACAUCGGAACGUGCCCAGUAGUGGAGGAUAGCUCGGCGAAAGCCGGAUUAAUACCGCAUACGACCUGAGGGUGAAAGCGGGGGAUCUUCGGACCUCGCGCUAUUGGAGCGGCCGAUGGCAGAUUAGCUAGUUGGUGGGGUAAAGGCCUACCAAGGCGACGAUCUGUAGCUGGUCUGAGAGGACGACCAGCCACACUGGGACUGAGACACGGCCCAGACUCCUACGGGAGGCAGCAGUGGGGAAUUUUGGACAAUGGGCGAAAGCCUGAUCCAGCAAUGCCGCGUGUGUGAUGAAGGCCUUCGGGUUGUAAAGCACUUUUGGCGGGAACGAAAAGGACUGUGCCAAUACCACGGUUCGAUGACGGUACCCGCAGAAUAAGCACCGGCUAACUACGU